rnacentral:rRNA from 1 species
AUGGAGGAAUUAGAGCUGGCCCGACGUGUGCAAAUCAAAUUGCGUUCGGAAGCAAGGGGUCUUGUAGUUGUCGGGCACAUUGAACUCCAAUCGACCGAUGCAACUACAAAGCAUAGUGCUUCACUACUACACGACCUACUUCAGCAGUUCAGCUACCCAGAGACACGACGUCCUCUUUACUCGUCGUCAUCAUCGCAGCCGCAUGCAGCAGAGGCCGCCGACGAUCUCUUUUCUUUUGUUCUUUCGCCGAACCUCUGUGGGAUCCGGUUCCAUGCACGCACGGUGUAUGCAUCUAAUUCAGACGGCGAUGGGAGGGUAUCUCUACUCCUAAUGAAGCAGUUUUUAUUCGUCCCCGCACGCCCCUCCACGAUCCCUACCCAGAUCGCUGCACACCACCGCCGCCGCCGCGAAUCCCCGGGGACGCCGCACGCCGCCACCGCCGCGAAUCCCCAGGGAUGCCACACGCCACCGCCGUCGCGAAUCACGAGAGACGCCGCUCGCCGCCGCCGCGGAUCCCCAAGGGCGUGGUCGCGUUGCCCUGAUUGGAGGAGACCCUGCCCGCCUUGCCUCGUUUGGAGGACGAACACAGGUAUUUCGAGGCCCAUGUGCGUCAAUCCCGACCUCCGCUUUCCCCCUUUUCCAUCGAGGGCCGCCGCCGCUGCUUCGUCUUCUAUCUCUCCCGAUCCCCAUCGGCACCUGCUGGAUGGUGCUCCGGGAACAGGGCCGCACGGAGGCCCUCCUCCCGUAGGAUGUGCAGACGCGGCACGCCUUGCAGCGGCUGUUCGGGAUGAGCGCGGGCGCGACAACCUUGUCCCAGUCGAUGAUGGCGGCGGCGAACGCCGGUGCUCCUUCUCGUCCUCUACCUCCAAGGACGCGCACCGAUACAGCUCAGGCACCCCCGUCCCCAAAUCCCGCCCACCCAUCCGGCGUUGUCCAGCUCAUCCUCACGCUCGUGGAUUCGCCUCCUCCUAUCUUUGGUCGGUGUUAUCUUUUAAAAUAAAAAACCUCCGUCUUCUAUCUCAACGUCGGCGGCCCGACGACGCCGACUCCUUAUCGACGCCCGUCGACAGCCCGGUGACGCGACCAGAUCACUGCAAAUUGCUCCAUUCAUGUCAGCAGCCUAAUCAGGUGGAGGUGGUCAUGCUGGCGCCACUGUUUCACUUCGUGCUGAUGCGGUAUAAAAGUGCCUCCUCGGCAGAUGAGGACCUGAGCAUGGUCGUGCUAAUGAGGAUGCAAGAUCCACCGCCAUCGGCCAGUCCGAGUGAUUGCAGAGAACUUGGCAGGCAGAUCAAUUACGAGGAGCAAAAUGACCUGCUUGGACCGAACGAGGACAGGUGUGUGGUGGUGGACAUAAGAUGCACGGCGAACAUUGAGCUACAGAAGAACAUUAUGAAAGGUUGGAGAGGCUGGAGGAGACCAUAUACCAAUACAAAGCGCAUCUUGAUGGCCAUCAAUGAGGAGCUGAACCUGCUACACCAGGCUAAUUGCAAGCAUCGGGAUGAUUUGGACGAGAUGACUGAUGAGGACAUGAGCGUUGUCGGAUGA